rnacentral:tRNA from 1 species
GGCUCGGUAGCUCAGUCGGUAGAGCAACGGACUGAAAAUCCGUGUGUCGGCGGUUCGAUUCCGUUCCGAGCCACCA